rnacentral:rRNA from 1 species
ACUGCUCAGUAACACGUGGACAACCUACCCUUAGGCCUGGGAUAAACCUGGGAAACUGGGUAUAAUACCGGAUAGGUCUCGAAUGCUGGAAUGCAUCGAGGCUUAAAGCUCCGGCGCCUAAGGAUGGGUCUGCGGCCUAUCAGGGUAGUAGUGGGUGUAAUGUACCUACUAGCCUACGACGGGUACGGGUCGUGAGAGCGAGAGCCCGGAGAUGGAUUCUGAGACACGAAUCCAGGCCCUACGGGGUGCAGCAGGCGCGAAAACUUUACAAUGCUGGAAACAGCGAUAGGGGGACUUUGAGUGCCAGGAUACAAUUCUGGCUGUCGUCGUGCCUAAAAAGCACGGCAUAGCAAGGGCCGGGCAAGACCGGUGCCAGCCGCCGCGGUAACACCGGCGGCUCGAGUGGUAACCGCUAUUAUUGGGUCUAAAGGGUCUGUAGCCGGCCUGGUAAGUCUUUUGGGAAAUCCGGCAGCUCAACUGUCGGGCUAUCAGAGGAUACUGCUAGGCUCGAGACCGGGAGAGGUGAGAGGUACUUCAUGGGUAGGGGUGAAAUCUUGUAAUCCUUGAAGGACCACCAGUGGCGAAGGCGUCUCACCAGAACGGAUCUGACGGCAAGGGACGAAAGCUAGGGGCACGAACCGGAUUAGAUACCCGGGUAGUCCUAGCCGUAAACGAUACUCGCUAGGUGUCGGCCACGGUGCGACCGUGGUCGGUGCCGUAGGGAAGCCGUGAAGCGAGCCACCUGGGAAGUACGGCCGCAAGGCUGAAACUUAAAGGAAUUGGCGGGGGAGCACAUACUGCUCAGUAACACGUAUAGGAAUUGGCGGGGGAGCAC